rnacentral:rRNA from 1 species
GACGAACGCUGGCGGCGUGCUUAACACAUGCAAGUCGAACGCUGAAGACCUGGCUUUUGUUGGGUUGGAUGAGUGGCGAACGGGUGAGUAACACGUGAGUAACCUGCCCUCUUCUUUGGGAUAACGCCCGGAAACGGGUGCUAAUACUGGAUAUUCACUGAUCUUCGCAUGGGGGUUGGUGGAAAGGUUUGUUCUGGUGGGGGAUGGGCUCGCGGCCUAUCAGCUUAUUGGUGGGGUGAUGGCCUACCAAGGCUUUGACGGGUAGCCGGCCUGAGAGGGUGACCGGUCACUUUGGGACUGAGAUACGGCCCAGACUCCUACGGGAGGCAGCAGUUGGGAAUAUUGCACAAUGGGCGAAAGCCUGAUGCAGCGACGCCGCGUGAGGGAUGGAGGCCUUCGGGUUGUAAACCUCUUUCGCUCAUGGUCAAGCCGCAACUGUGGGUUGUGGUGAGGGUAGUGGGUAAAGAAGCGCCGGCUAACUACGUG